rnacentral:rRNA from 1 species
UACGUAGGGGGCUAGCGUUGUCCGGAAUCAUUGGGCGUAAAGCGCGCGUAGGUGGCCCCAUAAGUCCGCUGUGAAAGUCAAAGGCUCAACCUUUGAAAGCCGGUGGAUACUGUGGGACUAGAGUACGGAAGAGGCGAGUGGAAUUCCUGGUGUAGCGGUGGAAUGCGCAGAUAUCAGGAGGAACACCAAUAGCGAAGGCAGCUCGCUGGGACGUUACUGACACUGAGGCGCGAAAGCGUGGGGAGCGAACAGG